CUCCCACCUUACCGUUGCUGGUCUGGCGAGUCUGAAGCGUUUUACUUCCGGUUCAGAUCGCCAUCUUGGAUUUUCCUUGCCUGUUUCCUCGUGGUCUCCUAGUCCGGUGCUUCCCUGGCUCUCCUUCCCGUUACUGGUGUCCGCACAGCCGGCUCGUUACUUUGCCGCCGCAAAAACUGUAAGUCAGGCCCGCCGUAAAGCAACCGCCGCAAAUUCCGUUGCUUUACAGGGCGGAGCCCCGUUCGUUUCAAACCAGCGUUCGGUUCUUUUUCCGUUCAUGCAUUAUGCCAUUCGACUAAUUCCCUCAUCUAUUCACAUGUUUCACUUUUUCUAAGCUAACGAACGCUAUCAUUCUGUUAUAUACAUUUAACCUCAUUCUGUUCAGUUUUCGAAUGCCACUUAGGAGGCAUUUAUUCGUAUGUUUCAAUACCCUACCUAGUUCUUUCAGUAAUUACACAAACUCACGAAUAAGCACAAAUUCAGCCGGUACUCCAUGGGGAUUUUUGCCCCUACUGGUUACAAACGUUAUUACAGUCACUUAUAUAAAUUGUACUAAAGUAAAUAGAAAUGUUUAAACCUGGAUGAUGUGUCCUGAUUUUCCUGACUUUUCCCACAGAUUCAUACCAGGGGUUCGUACUAGGAAUUGUGAUUUCUGACACUUGUAUCAAUUAUAUUUACUUCUAGGUU